ensembl:misc_RNA Y_RNA Y RNA
GGCUGGUCCGAUGGCAGUGGGUUAUCAGAAUUUACCUAAAGUUAGGAUCUAACUUGCUUGAUAAGUUAGCAUCACUAACCCCCCCACUGCUAAACUUGACUGGCUUUUA